CCCGAUCGAACACCUCCUUAGUUUUUGAUAAAAAAUAAGCACUAUAUUCCGUGUGGAUUUCUUGCAGAAUUGAUCUAUUCUUAAGAGAGUAUAUUUGAAAAAUCCAAGAUCAUAUCCAACAAGACUAGUCGAAAGAUAUUAUUUAGAUUUUUUGAUUCUUUAUAAGUACCCAAGAUCGUCUCAUGAAGAACCGAUGUAGGACUAGAUACAUAUUUGUAUGGGUCCUCACAUACUCCCCCCAUUUAAGUUUUGACAUCAUUAAUUAUCAAGCUAAGGGUACAAAUCUAUGCAUCCAUUUAUAAAUACCAC
rnacentral:lncRNA from 1 species